rnacentral:rRNA from 1 species
GGGAAAGCAAAACUGGCAGUCGAGCGAGCUUUGCCUAGAUGAUUUUAGUGCUUGCACUAAAUGAAACUAGAUACAAGCGAGCGGCGGACGGGUGAGUAACACGUGGGUAACCUGCCCAAGAGACUGGGAUAACACCUGGAAACAGAUGCUAAUACCGGAUAACAACACUAGACGCAUGUCUAGAGUUUGAAAGAUGGUUCUGCUAUCACUCUUGGAUGGACCUGCGGUGCAUUAGCUAGUUGGUAAGGUAACGGCUUACCAAGGCAAUGAUGCAUAGCCGAGUUGAGAGACUGAUCGGCCACAUUGGGACCGAGACACGGCCCAAACUCCUACGGGAGGCAGCAGUAGGGAAUCUUCCACAAUGGACGAAAGUCUGAUGGAGCAACGCCGCGUGAGUGAAGAAGGGUUUCGGCUCGUAAAGCUCUGUUGGUAGUGAAGAAAGAUAGAGGUAGUAACUGGCCUUUAUUUGACGGUAAUUACUUAGAAAGUCACGGCUAACUACGUGCCAGCAGCCGCGGUAAUACGUAGGUGGCAAGCGUUGUCCGGAUUUAUUGGGCGUAAAGCGAGUGCAGGCGGUUCAAUAAGUCUGAUGUGAAAGCCUUCGGCUCAACCGGAGAAUUGCAUCAGAAACUGUUGAACUUGAGUGCAGAAGAGGAGAGUGGAACUCCAUGUGUAGCGGUGGAAUGCGUAGAUAUAUGGAAGAACACCAGUGGCGAAGGCGGCUCUCUGGUCUGCAACUGACGCUGAGGC